rnacentral:lncRNA from 1 species
CAUGAAGAGGGGGUGGGGCUAUAUAAUCUCCAUGGAAACGAUACUUGCAAAUGCCAAUAAAUUUGCAUACCAAAUAUCAUUGACUUAACAUUAGCAGUUCAUCUUAAACUGAUCUAAUCACAAUCUAAUACAUGUAAACUAAGAUAAGUUUCAAAGUCGAUAGACCAUGACUGAGGGGGCGAGGCCAAAUAUUCUCCAUGGAAAUGAGAUGUGCCAAUGAUUAUACCACCGAAUACCAAUUAACAUUGGCCUACCACUAAUGGUUCCCCUUGAACUGACCUAAUCACAAACUAAUACAUGAUAACUUAGCAAAAUUUUCAA